rnacentral:rRNA from 1 species
AUUGAACGCUGGCGGCAGGCCUAACACAUGCAAGUCGAGCGGGGUUUUCGGACCUAGCGGCGGACGGGUGAGUAAUGCGUAGGAAGCUACCGGAUAGAGGGGGAUACCAGUUGGAAACGACUGUUAAUACCGCAUAAUGUCUACGGACCAAAGUGUGGGACCUUCGGGCCACAUGCUAUCGGAUGCGCCUACGUGGGAUUAGCUAGUUGGUGAGGUAAUGGCUCACCAAGGCGACGAUCCCUAGCUGGUUUGAGAGGAUGAUCAGCCACACUGGAACUGAGACACGGUCCAGCCCCCUACGGGAGGCAGCAGUGGGGAAUAUUGGACAAUGGGCGCAAGCCUGAUCCAGCCAUGCCGCGUGUGUGAAGAAGGCCUUCGGGUUGUAAAGCACUUUCAGUAGGGAGGAAGCGUUGUGUGUUAAUAGUACACAGCGUUGACGUUACCUACAGAAGAAGCACCGGCUAACUCUGUGCCAGCCGCCGCCGUAACAC